AAUGUGGGUGAAAGCCUCACUCUGAAGAAUCCUGGAAGAGUAGCAUACGAUGCAGGCGGGAUAAAGAUGUUUUGGGAGAAAAAAAUCGAGCAUCACGCAAGACACCUGCAGAACGAGGACAUGAGGGUUCGCAGGAGCGCCCUGAACAAGCUCCGAGCAGGAUGGGCUGAGCAGCUGGAGGGGAGGAACAAGAUGCUGCAGGGCCCGGGGAGGCACCCAGGCAAGGCCCCGGCAGCCGCUGAGGUUCAUACCAAGGACAAGGCAGCAGCCUGAGAACCGCGGAGCUCCAGACCCUGCGUAGCUUCUGGAGGCUCAUGGAGAAAGCACACCGCCCGUGGGGUCCAAGCAUCCGCGCCGGAGUUCACAGGAUCUUCAUCAUGGAAACGGCCCGCACUUCCCUGACCCUGUAAUAACCCACCUCAAGGCCACACUGUGGCAGAGACCCAGGGUUUUCCAGCACAUCACAGGUGCCCAGUAAAAGUUCAGUCAGUU